rnacentral:rRNA from 1 species
GGACUGGGAUAACCCUGGGAAACUGGGGCUAAUACCGGAUAGGCAAUUUUUCCUGGAAUGGUUUUUUGUUUAAAUGUUUUUUCGCCUAAGGAUGGGUCUGCGGCCGAUUAGGUAGUUGGUUAGGUAAUGGCUUACCAAGCCGUUGAUCGGUACGGGUUGUGAGAGCAAGAGCCCGGAGAUGGAACCUGAGACAAGAUUCCAGGCCCUACGGGGUGCAGCAGGCGCGAAACCUCCGCAAUGUGAGAAAUCGCGACGGGGGGAUCCCAAGUGCCAUUCUUAACGGGAUGGCUUUUCAUUAGUGUAAAGAGCUUUUGGAAUAAGAGCUGGGCAAGACCGGUGCCAGCCGCCGCGGUAACACCGGCAGCUCUAGUGGUAACAAUUUUUAUUGGGCCUAAAGCGUCCGUAGCCGGUUUAAUAAGUCUCUGGUGAAAUCCUGUAGCUUAACUGUGGGAAUUGCUGGAGAUACUAUUAGACUUGAGACCGGGAGAGGUUAGAGGUACUCCCAGGGUAGAGGUGAAAUUCUGUAAUCCUGGGAGGACCGCCUGUUGCGAAGGCGUCUAACUGGAACGGUUCUGACGGUGAGGGACGAAAGUUAGGGGCGCGAACCGGAUUAGAUACCCGGGUAGUCCUAACUGUAAACGAUGCGGACUUGGUGUUGGGGUGGCUUUGAGCUGCUCCAGUGCCGAAGGGAAGCUGUUAAGUCCGCCGCCUGGGAAGUACGGU